rnacentral:rRNA from 1 species
UACGUAGGUGGCGAGCGUUGUCCGGAAUUACUGGGCGUAAAGCGUGCGCAGGCGGUGAUGUAAGACCGAUGUGAAAUCCCCGGGCUUAACCUGGGAACUGCAUUGGUGACUGCAUUGCUGGAGUAUGGCAGAGGGGGGUGGAAUUCCACGUGUAGCAGUGAAAUGCGUAGAGAUGUGGAGGAACACCGAUGGCGAAGGCAGCCCCCUGGGCCAAUACUGACGCUCAUGCACGAAAGCGUGGGGAGCAAACAGG